AAGCAUGUAGACCUGGAUAUUAUGGUGAUACCUGCAACACAAGCUGCCCGUCCAAUUGUAAAAGGGAUAUAUGUAAUCAGACCAGUGGGUUAUGUACAGAAUGUGCACCCUGGUUUUAUGGCAUUGACUGUAAGCAGACUUGUCCGGCACACUGUCGAUACUCACUAUGUGCCAGAAGUAGCGGGGAUUGUUCAGUGGUAGCUAUAAUGGAUGAAGACGCCGCUGUCGGGAUAGGCAUCGUAUCUGGAUUGUUUUUAUUGACUCUGGUCAUCUUGGUAAUUGUACUGGUCAGACGUCGGACGAUGAAGCGCGGUGAUACCACAGGGCCUUCUCAGACGACAGAUAUAUCAUUGUCGAGAACUGCAAUAUAGCUAAAACAAAAUCAAGAUAAUAACUACGACGAAAUAGCAAUUUACAACAUGGAACAAACCAUUGCGCAUAUUUCACACAGUGAGGCAAAUUAUGAACUGCUUGGA